AAAAGAAAUAAUCUAUUUAAGAUCUUUCACUUACAAUGAAAAAAAGUUUUUUACUUUCUUUU
rnacentral:tRNA from 1 species